rnacentral:rRNA from 1 species
GAUGAACGCUGGCGGCGUGCCUAAUACAUGCAAGUCGAGCGAACAGACGAGGAGCUUGCUCCUCUGACGUUAGCGGCGGACGGGUGAGUAACACGUGGAUAACCUACCUAUAAGACUGGGAUAACUUCGGGAAACCGGAGCUAAUACCGGAUAAUAUAUUGAACCGCAUGGUUCAAUAGUGAAAGACGGUUUUGCUGUCACUUAUAGAUGGAUCCGCGCCGCAUUAGCUAGUUGGUAAGGUAACGGCUUACCAAGGCAACGAUGCGUAGCCGACCUGAGAGGGUGGUAGGCGACAGCGGAAUUGAGAAAUGGUCAAGACUGGGAAGGGGGGACGCAGUACGGAAGCUUGCGAAAUGUGAGCAUGUUGGACGGGUAAACGCAGCGUGAGGGAUGAAGGUCUUCGUAUAUUAAAAGUGUGUGAUUAGGGAAGAACAAAUGUGUAAGUAACUAUGAAAGUCUUGACGGGACCGAGUGAGAAAGCAACGGAGAACUACGUG